GCGCUGACAGCCUGAGUACCGGGUCUCAAAGUGUCAAAUCAAUUUUGAAAACCAAAACAAAUCAUUGGCAUUUAACAAACAGUGAAAACCCAUAACUGAAGGUAAAAAUAAUUAAUAUCAGUUUUGUGAAAACAGCGCCAUUAGCGUUCUACUACUAAUAUUUCUAUUGUGUAAACGUAGGAAAGAAUCGUUUGUAUGGAGAUGUCCGCCCUGAUCCAGCACCAGAUUGCAAAACUAUUGACAGGAAAAAACCUUGAUGCACUCUCCAUCAAUGCGGGGGAGUGCGCCUGCUGCAAGGAACUCGGUUUCAAGUUAGCGAAGGAAGGUAUCCGGAAGCAGAAACAUAAGCUGAGAGUGCUAGCUGAAUCGCGACACCCCCUUCAAGCGAACAUAUCGGUAAGCUAGUUUCGUGAUCGGGACUCGGUGCACAAAAUCUUCGUGUUUCCGUUACUUUUUGUGCUGAAAUUGCAGCUGCAGUAACACCAGCGAAAAGCCGGAUGUAUGACGGAUCGGUGAAUUGGGAGCUAUCAGCAAUGUUCCGCCGCCCCCCGUUCAUCAAAUCAGUGUAUAGUAAAACAUGAAAAUUUAUGUGAAAAUAGUAAAACGAAUGUUACCAAGAAUAAAACAAAUUCAAUCAUAA